rnacentral:rRNA from 1 species
GGACGGUAGCACAGAGAGCUUGCUCUCGGGUGACGAGUGGCGGACGGGUGAGUAAUGUCUGGGGAUCUGCCCGAUAGAGGGGGAUAACCACUGGAAACGGUGGCUAAUACCGCAUAACGUCGCAAGACCAAAGAGGGGGACCUUCGGGCCUCUCACUAUCGGAUGAACCCAGAUGGGAUUAGCUAGUAGGCGGGGUAAUGGCCCACCUAGGCGACGAUCCCUAGCUGGUCUGAGAGGAUGACCAGCCACACUGGAACUGAGACACGGUCCAGACUCCUACGGGAGGCAGCAGUGGGGAAUAUUGCACAAUGGGCGCAAGCCUGAUGCAGCCAUGCCGCGUGUAUGAAGAAGGCCUUCGGAUUGUAAAGUACUUUCAGCGGGGAGGAAGGCGAUGGGGUUAAUAACCCUGUCGAUUGACGUUACCCGCAGAAGAAGCACCGGCUAACUCCGUGCCAGCAGCCGCGGUAAUACGGAGGGUGCAAGCGUUAAUCGGAAUUACUGGGCGUAAAGCACACGCAGGCGGUCUGUCAAGUCGGAUGUGAAAUCCCCGGGCUCAACCUGGGAACUGCAUUCGAAACUGGCAGGCUAGAGUCUUGUAGAGGGGGGUAGAAUUCCAGGUGUAGCGGUGAAAUGCGUAGAGAUCUGGAGGAAUACCGGUGGCGAAGGCGGCCCCCUGGACAAAGACUGACGCUCAGGUGCGAAAGCGUGGGGAGCAAACAGGAUUAGAUACUCUGGUAGUCCACGCCGUAAACGAUGUCGACUUGGAGGUUGUGCCCUUGAGGCGUGGCUUCCGGAGCUAACGCGUUAAGUCGACCGCCUGGGGAGUACGGCCGCAAGGUUAAAACUCAAAUGAAUUGACGGGGGCCCGCACAAGCGGUGGAGCAUGUGGUUUAAUUCGAUGCAACGCGAAGAACCUUACCUGGCCUUGACAUCCACGGAAUUUGGCAGAGAUGCCUUAGUGCCUUCGGGAACCGUGAGACAGGUGCUGCAUGGCUGUCGUCAGCUCGUGUUGUGAAAUGUG